rnacentral:sRNA from 1 species
AGCACUGCCGGCAGCGAGGUGAUCGGAGAGCUUCCAGCCCCCAUCCCCGGCCGCGGGAGACCGGGGCUCCGCUUUGGCUCCGCGGAUGGUGGCGGCGGGUGAAGGGAGGCCACAAGGCUGGGCAGGGCCUGAGAAGCGGGGUGGGAGCGUUUCUUCUGGGGCUGCAGUGAGAUCGGCUGGUGCGGGUUUUUUUGGCCGUGAGCCUUUGAAAUGACUUGUGGUCUCCUUGGAAGGAAGCCAUGCAAUUCCUGAAAACGUACCUUGCAGUGUUUAUUUUGGUUUUCGAGUGUGCCGUGUCCGAGCAGUGCACGAAGCCCACUGCUGGGUCGCGUGACGCACACUUACUCUGCUGAGCGCGGAUUUUCUUCCAUUUGUGUGUGAUGAUUGUUCAGGAAUAUUUUGCCUUGAACACAGAAGCAAGGAGUCUCAUGGUUGUCCU